rnacentral:lncRNA from 12 species
AUGAUAACGAUAACAAUAACGAUACUGAUAACGAUAACUAUACUGAUAACAAUAACUAUACCGAUAACGAUAACUAUACAGAUAACUAUUCUGGUAACAAUAACUAUACCGAUAACGAUAACUAUACAGAUAACUAUACUGAUAACGAUAACUAUAUUGAUAACAAUAACUAUACUGAUAACGAUAACUAUACUGAUAACAAUAACUAUACUGAUAACGAUAACUAUACUGAUAACAGUAACUAUACCGAUAACUAUACUGAUAACGAUAACUAUACAGAUAACUAUACUGAUAACAGUAACUAUACCAAUAACGAUAACUAUACUGAUAACAAUAACUAUACUGAUAACAAUAACUGUACCGAUAACUAUACUGAUAACAAUAACUAUACAGAUAACUAUACUGAUAACUAUACUGAUAACAAUAACUAUACCGAUAACGAUAACUAUACUGAUUACAAUAACUAUACUGAUAACUAUACUGAUAACAAUAACUGUACCGAUAACAAUAACUGUACCGAUAACUAUACUGAUAACAAUAACUAUAACGAUAACUAUACUGAUAACAAUAACUAUACUGAUAACUAUACUGAUAACAAUAACUGUACCGAUAACAAUAACUGUACCGAUAACUAUACUGAUAACAAUAACUAUACCGAUAACGAUAACUAUACAGAUAACUAUACUGAUAACAAUAACUAUACAGAUAACUAUACUGAUAACAAUAACUAUACUGAUAACUAUACUGAUAACAACUAUACCGAUAACGAUAACUGUACUGAUAACAAUAACUAUACCGAUAACUAUACUGAUAACAAUAACGAUAACUAUACUGAUAACUAUACUGAUAACAAUAACCAUAAUGAUAACCAUACAGACAACUAUACUGAUAACAAUCACGAUACAGAUAAAUAUAAUGAUAACAAUAGCUAUACUGAUAACUAUACAGAUAACGAUACUGAUAACAAUACUGAUAACAGUAACUAUACAAAUAACGAUAACUAUAAAGAUAACUAUACUUAUAACUAUAACUAUACCGAUAACUAUAACUAUACCGAUAACAAUAACUAUACUGAAAACUAUACUGAUAACAAUAACUAUACCGAUAACGAUAACUAUACUGAUAACAAUAACUGUACCAAUAACAAUAACUAUAAUGAUAACUAUACAGAUAACUAUACUGAUAACAAUAACUAUACUGAUAACUAUACCGAUAACAAUAAGUAUACCGAUAACGAUAACUAUACAGAUAACUAUACUGAUAACAAUAACUAUACCGAUAACUAUACUGAUAACAAUAACUAUACCGAUACCGAUAACUAUACAGAUAACAAUAACUAUACUGAUAACUAUACAGAUAACAAUAACUAUACAGAUAACUAUACUGAUAACGAUAACAAUACAGAUAACUGUACCGAUAACAAUAACUGUACCGAUAACUAUACUGAUAACAAUAACUGUACCGAUAACUAUACUGAUAAUGAUAACUAUACCGAUAGCUAUACUGAUAACGAUAACUAUACUGAUAACAAUAACUAUAACUAUACUGAUAACAAAUAUACCGAUAACUUAA